rnacentral:rRNA from 1 species
GUGAACUGCGAAUGGCUCAUUAAAUCAGUUAUCGUUUAUUUGAUAGUACCUACCAACUACUUGGAUAACCGUGGUAAUUCUAGAGCUAAUACAUGCUAAAAACCCCGACUUCGGGAGGGGUGUAUUUAUUAGAUAAAAAACCAAUGCCCCUCGGGGCUCCUUGGUGAAUCAUAAUAACUUAACGGAUCGCAUGGCCUUGCGCCGGCGACGGUUCAUUCAAAUUUCUGCCCUAUCAACUUUCGAUGGUAAGGUAUUGGCUUACCAUGGUUUCAACGGGUAACGGGGAAUUAGGGUUCGAUUCCGGAGAGGGAGCCUGAGAAACGGCUACCACAUCCAAGGAAGGCAGCAGGCGCGCAAAUUACCCAAUCCCGACACGGGGAGGUAGUGACAAUAAAUACUGAUACAGGGCUCUUUUGGGUCUUGUAAUCGGAAUGAGUACAAUUUAAACCCCUUAACGAGGAACAAUUGGAGGGCAAGUCUGGUGCCAGCAGCCGCGGUAAUUCCAGCUCCAAUAGCGUAUAUUAAAAUUAAAGUUGUUGCAGUUAAAAAGCUCGUAGUUGAACCUUGGGCCUGGCUGGCCGGUCCGCCUCACCGCGUGUACUGGUCCGGCCGGGCCUUUCCUUCUGGAGAGCCGCAUGCCCUUCACUGGGUGUGUCGGGGAACCAGGACUUUUACUUUGAAAAAAUUAGAGUGUUCAAAGCAGGCCUUUGCUCGAAUACGUUAGCAUGGAAUAAUAGAAUAGGACGUGCGGUCCUAUUUUGUUGGUUUCUAGGACCGCCGUAAUGAUUAAUAGGGAUAGUCGGGGGCAUCAGUAUUCAAUUGUCAGAGGUGAAAUUCUUGGAUUUAUUGAAGACUAACUACUGCGAAAGCAUUUGCCAAGGAUGUUUUCAUUAAUCAGUGAACGAAAGUUAGGGGAUCGAAGACGAUCAGAUACCGUCGUAGUCUUAACCGUAAACUAUGCCGACUAGGGAUCGGGCGAUGUUUCUCUCUUGACUCGCUCGGCACCUUACGAGAA